GCAUGUCACGGUAGAGCACAUGUCAUUUGCAGCCACGAGACAAAGACAGAGCAAGCGAGGUGUAGUACCCUGCCGGCAGUCUCCUUGUAAAUCGUACCAUAGAUUGAAGACUUUAUAUAUGAUCGAGCUCGCUAAACACCUAACUCACUGUUUGGACAUGAUAACUACUCAACGCUGCACAGCACAGGAUUCAGCAUUCAAUCACUCAUAAUUUUAUUGUCAUUUCAUCUUUUAUGGGGGACGCCCCACUCUUAAUUUUUAUCACUGAAUGGCUGCUGACGUACGUAUAUAUAAGAGCACCAAGAUACGACAGGAAAGGGUCAGUAUAAUAAUUAUGCAGUGUAUGUGAUUUUCUGACGUUACUCUAAACAGAGGGAGUCGGCCACACAAGGUAUAGUCUAAUAAUUAUUAUAGGAUCUUCUCUGUUUUGGGUCAGAUGCAAUUGCACUAGCCAGUUAAAACAUUUCUUCUACUCUUGGCUUAAGAAAUUGUAUUUUAUUAUUGUACCAGCAUUAGGUAGUUAACUCCACUUAUGCAUUGACCUCUACUACUGUGUAGCGGGAAAGUUCGUUAUUUGAGCCCUCGAGAAAUGUUGUAUAGUUGUUCACAUUUCAAUGCCAGGAAACCACAGCUUUGCAUGGUGCGUGGGAGUGUCUUCCAUUUAUAUUACAUGAAGUGUAAAGUGUGUUGUAAGUUUGUACAGAGAGGACUCCCAUGGUGGCAAUAAAUGUAUAGCAAUGAUCUGAUGAUGGCUCCACUGCUCUGAUGGACCAAUGCAGGAGAAGUUAUUCUGUAUAAUUAUUACACUAAAUUAAUGUAUGCCACUGUUUGGAUCGGUUUCUGUUCUGCUCAGCUUCUUCCUCCAACUUGCUUACGCAGGCAAAGCUUAUUCUUAAUUAUUUCAUUCUUAGUUCAUUCUAUAGUCUAGUAUUAUUGUCGGUUUGGUUGUUUUAUGUUUUUCACCUGGUCAUACGGAAUCACUUCAUUAAUUUUUAUACAGUGCAGACCGCACCUCUAUCCACACAUUGUACCUGCACAUCCUGUAUAUAUGGGGCCACACCCCCACUCACUGUACUGAUAUGUGGUCACACCCCCAUACAUGGUAACCCUCUUGAUCACACCCCAACCCUAUGCUGUGUUUUUGUGUACAGUACACACAUCAUCCGUGUCUUUAUCCCCACACCUAGUCGGAGGGAGCAGCAAGUUCUACUAAGAGCCAGCAUCACCCACUAACCAACACUCUACAAGACCUACCUACUACCAGCUAGGACAGCACACCACCCGGGACAGACUCUACUAUACCAUGUAAUACGCCUUUGUAUUACGAUCAUGAUACAAUUUGCUGCCCUCCCUCGCCAAUGGAUUGAAUAAUUAUGGACACUCGCAGGACAACUAAGAGACUGACACACAAUAAUAGACACCAAAGGCAGUGUAUGUGAUUUUCUGACAGGAAAGGCUACUCUAAACAGAGGGAGUCGGCCACACAAGGUAUAGUCUAAUAAUUAUUGUACAGUACUAGAUGAUCUUCUCUGUUUUGGGUCAGAUGCAAUCACUAGCCAGUUUAAAACAUUUCUUCUACUCUUGGCUUAAGAAAUUGUAUUUUAUUAUUGUACCAGUAUUAGGUAGUUAACUCCACUUAUGCAUUGACCUCUGCGUGUAGCGGGAAAGUUCGUUAUUUGAGCCCUCGAGAAAUGUUGUAUAGUUGUUCACAUUUCAAUGCCAGGAAACCAUAGCUUUGCAUGGUGCGUGGGAGUGUCUUCCAUUUAUAUUACAUGAAGUGUGAAGUGUGUUGUAAGUUUAUACAGAGAGGACUCCCAUGGUGGGAAUGAUCUGAUGAUGGCUCCACUGCUCUGAUGGACCAAUGCAGGAGAAGUUAUUCUGUAUAAUUAUUACACUAAAUUAAUGUAUGCCACUGUUUGGAUCGGUUUCUGUUCUGCUCAGCUUCUUCCUCCAACUUGCUUACGCAGGCUAAGCUUAUUCUUAAUUAGUUCAUUCUUAGUUCAUUCUAUAGUCUAGUAUAUUGUCGGUUUGGUUGUUUGAUGUUUUUCACCUGGUCAUACGGAAUCACUUCAUUAAUUUUUAUACAGUGCAGACCACACCUCUAUCCACACAUUGUACCUGCACAUCCUGUAUAUAUGGGGCCACACCCCCACUCACUGUACUGAUAUGUGGUCACACCCCCAUACAUGGUAACCCUCUUGACCACACCUCCACCCAUGCAUUGUGUCGUACAUGCUGUGUUUUUGUGUACUGUACAGUACACACAUCAUCCGUGUCUUUAUCCCCACACCUAGUCGGAGGGAGCAGCAAGUUCUACUAAGAGCCAGCAUCACCCACUAGCCAACACACUACAAGACUUACCUACUACCAGCUAGGACAGCACACCACCUGGGACAGACUCUACUAUACCAUGUAAUACGCCUUUGUAUUACGAUCAUGAUACAAUUUGCUGCCCUCCCUUGCCCAUGGAUUGAAUAAUUAUGGACACUCGCAGGACAACUAAGAGACUGACACACAAUAAUAGACACCAAAGGGCCAGUUACUGUAUCAUGCAGUGUAUGUGAUUUUCUGACAGGAAAGGCUACUCUAAACAGAGGGAGUCGGCCACACAAGGUAUAGUCUAAUAAUUAUUGUACGGUACCUUCUCUGUUUUGGGUCAGAUGCAAUUGCCUUCAAUCACUAGCCAGUUUAAAACAUUUCUUCUACUCUUGGCUUAAGAAAUUGUAUUUUAUUAUUGUACCAGCAUUAGGUAGUUAACUCCACUUAUGCAUUGACCUCUACUACUGUGUAGCGGGAAAGUUUAUUAUUUGAGCCCUCGAGAAAUGUUGUAUAGUUGUUCACAUUUUAAUGCCAGGAAACCAUAGCUUUGCAUGGUGCGUGGGAGUGUCUUCCAUUUUUAUUACAUGAAGUGUGAAGUGUGUUGUAAGUUGUACAGAGAGGACUCAUUGUACAGAGAGGACUCCCAUGGUGGCAAUGAUCUGAUGAUGGCUCCACUGCUCUGAUGGACCAAUGCAGGAGAAGUUAUUCUGUAUAAUUAUUACACUAAAUUAAUGUAUGCCACUGUUUGGAUCGGUUUCUGUUCUGCUCAGCUUCUUCCUCCAACUUGCUUACGCAGGCUAAGCUUAUUCUUAGUUCAUUCUUAGUUCAUUCUAUAGUCUAGUAUAUUGUCGGUUUGGUUGUUUUAUGUUUUUCACCUGGUCAUACGGAAUCACUUCAUUAUUAUCAGUGCAGACCACACCUCUAUCCACACAUUGUACCUGCACAUCCUGUAUAUAUGGGGCCACACCCCCACUCACUGUACUGAUAUGUGGUCACACCCCCAUACAUGGUAACCCUCUUGACCACACCCCAACCCAUGCAUUGUGUCGUACAUGCUGUGUUUUUGUGUACAGUGCACACAUCAUCCG